rnacentral:tRNA from 1 species
GUCCGCGUAGCACAGUGGUAGUGCGCUUGACUACGAUUAUUAAUCAAAUCAAGAGGUCGUGGUUUCGAGCACCACCGUGGAUU